AACGAACGCUGGCGGCAGGCUUAACACAUGCAAGUCGAACGGCUGUAGCAAUACAGCAGUGGCAGACGGGUGAGUAACACGUGGGAACCUUCCUAGGGGUACGGAACAACUCAGGGAAACUUGAGCUAAUACCGUAUACGACCGUGAGGAGAAAGAUUUAUCGCCCUAAGACGGGCCCGCGUCGGAUUAGGUAGUUGGUGGGGUAACGGCCUACCAAGCCUACGAUCCGUAGCUGAUCUGAGAGGAUGAUCAGACACACUGGGACUGAGACACGGCCCAGACUCCUACGGGAGGCAGCAGUGGGGAAUCUUGGACAAUGGGCGCAAGCCUGAUCCAGCCAUGCCGCGUGAGUGAAGAAGGCCUUAGGGUUGUAAAGCUCUUUUGCCAGGGACGGUAAUGACGGUAGCUGGAGAAUAAGCCCCGGCAAACUUCGUGCCAGCCGCCGCCGUAAAAC
rnacentral:rRNA from 1 species